GUGGUCAAGUGACCAAGGGCAUAGGGUGGAUACCUAGGCACACAGAGGCGAUGAAGGGCGCGAAAACCGGCGAAAUGCUUCGGGGAGCAGGAAGAUGCAGUGAUCCGAAGAUACCCGAAUGGGGAAACCCAGCAGAUAUAGAAGUCUGUUACUCCCAUCUGAAUGAAAUAGGAUGGGUAGAGCUAACGCAGCGAAUUGAAACAUCUUAGUAGCUGUAGGAAGAGAAAGAAAAAUCGAUUUUCUGAGUAGCGGCGAGCGAAAGGGAAAGAGCCUAAACCAGAAUGCUACGGCGUUCUGGGGUUGUGGGACAGCGAUAUGGAAUCUAAAGACUAGGCGAAGCUUCUGGAAUGAAGCAUCAGAGAGGGUGAAAAUCCCGUAGCCGAAAGUUGAAGGAUACUAGCUGAAUCCCGAGUAGCAUGGGGCACGUGGAAUCCCGUGUGAAUCCGCCUCGACCACGAGGUAAGGCUAAAUACUACUGUGUGACCGAUAGUGAACAAGUACCGCGAGGGAAAGGUUAAAAGAACCCCGGCGAGGGGAGUGAAAUAGAACAUGAAACCAUAUGCCUACAAGCAAUCGGAGCACGAUUUAACGUGUGACGGUGUGCCUGUUGAAGAAUGAGCCAGCGAGUUACAGGGUGUGGCAGGUUAAGGCGGGAAUGCCGGAGCCAAAGGGAAACCGAGUCUGAAUAGGGCGUUAGUCACAUUUUGUAGACCCGAACCUGGGUGAUCUAACCAUGGCCAGGUUGAAGCUUGGGUAACACCAAGUGGAGGACCGAACCGGGUGAUGUUGAAAAAUCAUCGGAUGAGCUGUGGUUAGGGGUGAAAUGCCAAUCGAACCCAGAGCUAGCUGGUUCUCCCCGAAAUGCGUUUAGGCGCAGCGUCUGUGAGUAGUCAUGGGGGUAGAGCACUGAAUCGGUGCGGGCUGGGAGACCGGUACCAAAUCGAAUCAAACUCCGAAUACCGUGAUGUUAGCAGGCAGUGAGACUGUGGGGGAUAAGCUCCAUGGUCAAGAGGGAAACAGCCCAGACCGCCAGCUAAGGCCCCAAAGAAAUCGCUAAGUGGUUAAGGAGGUGGAGGUGCAUUGACAACCAGGAGGUUGGCUUAGAAGCAGCCACCCUUUAAAAAGUGCGUAAUAGCUUACUGGUCAAGCGCCUCUGCGCCGAAAAUGAAUGGGACUAAGCGAUUCGCCGAAGCUGCGGACUUGUGGUAGGGGAGCGUUCUGUUGUAGGUCGAAGCGGUAGCGUGAGCAGCCGUGGACGAAGCAGAAGUGAGAAUGUUGGCUUAAGUAGCGAAAACAUUGGUGAGAAUCCAAUGCCCCGAAACCCUAAGGGUUCCGCCGGAAGGUUCGUCCGCGGCGGGUUAGUCGGGACCUAAGGCGAGGCCGAAAGGCGUAGUCGAUGGACACCAGGUUGAUAUUCCUGGACUGACGUACUGGAGCAUAUCUAGGGACGCAUGAGAGUAAGCCACAUCCUAAUUGGAUUGGAAGGAGUCUACGGACUCUGUGUGGUGAGAGUAGUGCCAAGAAAAGCUAGAUAUGUGUUGAAAGUAAGUCACCCGUACCCGAAACCGACACAGGUAGGGAGGUAGAGAAUACUAAGGGGCGCGAGUUAACUCUCUCUAAGGAACUCGGCAAAAUAACCCCGUAACUUCGGGAGAAGGGGUGCCACUGAAAGGUGGUCGCAGUGAAAUGGCCCAAGCAACUGUUUACCAAAAACACAGGUCUCUGCAAACUCGUAAGAGGAUGUAUAGGGGCUGACGCCUGCCCAGUGCCGGAAGGUUAAGGAAGUUGGUUAGCGUAAGUGAAGCUGACGACUGAAGCCCCGGUGAACGGCGGCCGUAACUAUAACGGUCCUAAGGUAGCGAAAUUCCUUGUCAGGUAAGUUCUGACCCGCACGAAAGGCGUAAUGAUUUGGGCACUGUCUCGGAGAGAGGCUCGGCGAAAUAGGAAUGUCUGUGAAGAUACGGACUACCUGCACCCGGACAGAAAGACCCUAUGAAGCUUUACUGUAGCUUGGAAUUGUCUUCGGGCUUUGCUUGCGCAGGAUAGGUGGGAGACUGUGAAGUACCCCUUGUGGGGGGUAUGGAGUCAAUGGUGAGAUACCACUCUGGCGAGGCUAGAAGUCUAACCCAAUGCCGUUAUCCGGCUUGGGAACAGUUUCAGGUGGGCAGUUUGACUGGGGCGGUCGCCUCCUAAAAGGUAACGGAGGCGCGCAAAGGUUCCC
rnacentral:rRNA from 1 species